rnacentral:tRNA from 1 species
GNCACCGUAGCUCAGUGGGAGAGUGGGGGGCUCAUAACCCCCAGGUCCAUGGAUCGAAACCAUGCGGUGCUA